rnacentral:rRNA from 1 species
GACGAACGCUGGCGGCGUGCUUAACACAUGCCAGUCGAACGGAAAGGCCCUGCUUUUGUGGGGUGCUCGAGUGGCGAACGGGUGAGUAACACGUGAGUAACCUGCCCUUGACUUUGGGAUAACUUCAGGAAACUGGGGAUAAUAUCGGAUAGGAGCUCUUGCUGCAUGGUGGUGGUUGGAAAGUUUCGGCGGUUGGGGAUGGACUCGCGGCUUAUGAGCUUGUUUGUGGGGUAGUGGCUUACCAAGGCUUUGACGGGUAGCCGGCCUGAGAGGGUGACCGGCCACAUUGGGACUGAGAGACGGCCCAGACUCCUACGGGAGGCAGCAGGGGGGAACAUUGCGCAAUGGGCGGAAGCCUGAUGCAGCAACGCCGCGUGCGGGAUGACGGCCUUCGGGUUGUAAACCGCUUUCGCCUGUGACGAAGCGUGAGUGACGGUAAUGGGUAAAGAAGCACCGGCUAACUACGUG